rnacentral:rRNA from 1 species
GAUGAACGCUGGCGGCGUGCCUAACACAUGCAAGUCGAACGGAAACACGAAGAGCCUGCCUUCUUUACGUUAGCGUGGCGGGCGGGAGUAACAUGUGUGUAACACACCUAUAUGGCUGGGGAUACCUCGGGAAACCGGUACCUAUUCCGGCAUAACUUCUCAACCGCAAGGAUCGGGAGUGUAAGACGGCUUUGCUGUCACUUAGAGCUGGAUCCGUGCGGCAUUAGGUAGUUGGUCGGGUAACGGCUUACCCAGGCGACGAUGCGUAGCCGAUCUGAGAGGGUGAUCGGCCACACUGGAACUGAGACACGGUCCAGACUCCUACGGGAGGCAGCAGUGGGGAAUAUUGCGCAAUGGGCGAAAGCCUGACGGAGCAACGCCGCGUGUGUGAUGAAGGUCUUCGGGUUGUAAAACUCUGUUAGUGGGGAGGAACGGAUGUGUGUGUAUAUAUGCACGUAUUGACGUUACCUGAAGAAGAAGCCACGGCUAACUACGUG